GUGUGCACCGGUCGCGAGCGUCGACCUCACGUUUGACUUCCGCCUGCGCUUCCCCAAGCUCCGGCGGCGGCUCAUGGACCUCGAUGAGGCCAGGCAAUGGACGGCUUCGUACUAGGUGAGGUGGCACGGUGCUGUGCGGGGUACCUCGUGAGGUCGGCAGCGACAAGGGAGAGCGCAUCCGCUUCCGCUCCAACAUCCUCGAGUUCAACUAGCCAAUGGCUUCGGAUUAUGAUGAUUGGGUGUCAUGGCCCCAUGCCACUUCUCUUAUAUUUUAUUGUUGGAUUGUGGGGUUUUUAUUUGUGGCUGAAAAAUACCACAAGAAAGAUUGGAGGUUUACAAUCUGUACCAAGCGUUUUCUCCACAUGGAUGAAUUGGGAUGGCAAGCUAAUAUGUUCUUAUUACUGGCUGCUUCAAAAUUACCAUUUUGUUUCACAAAAAUAUUUAUUAUAAAUCUCCAUGAGUCACAAGUAUCGUCUCAAUUUAACCCCUCUUCGUAUAUUAGAUAAUCCUUGCUGCUUUAUUUAAAAAUAUGCAUCUUUCUUGACCGUCUGUGUUGAUGUGCAGACCAAAAAAUUGUGCAUAUGAGGUGUUCGACAUAUGUCUGGGACGUAUUUGCCAUUAUGUAGUAUACUAAUGGUCUACAUGAUUUUAUUGAACUCCAUGCUCACUCACAUGUACAUAUAUGUAACCUAGAAGAGUAUGCGAUCUAUGUCAUGUAUGACCCAAAUAAUAGUUUUCAUUUGGUUCAUUUUUCAAUAAUUGCAAUUUAAUUGUAGACAUGUUCAAUUUUUUGCACUUGGACAUUUCAAGUUUUUGCACCUUAUAGUGGGAGCUUGACUGAAAAGUUAUUGUAAUAUAGUAUUAUACAUUAGAAAGGGAGUUCAAGUUGGCUAUUAGAGUUACACAGGAUAAUUCCAUGAUUUAGACGUGAAAUGCUACUGAUGGAAAAUAAUUGAACUUGUCUCAGAUUGAUAGUACAAGUGAUUAAAAUUUGUGUUGACACUUGCUUACAAAAAGUAUUCUGUGUUCAUGCCUAGAGAUAUUGACUGCAUGCCUGGCCUUCGGUGCCCUCCACCCGCUCAUCACGUAUCCGUUGCCUAUGAUGUGCACCUGCCAAUAGGCAAGCCUGCAGGUCCGGCGCCCACCACCUUUCUGUUGCUCUGCUUUCCUCAGCAUGUGUCCAUAGGCUGCUGCCCCCUCUUCUACCUUUUCGGUCCUCUGCUCUUCUUAUAAAUGAAGUUUAUUGUCGAGAGUUUUGCUGCACGAUAGCUAUGUACUAAAUAUGUUCUGUUUUAGUCUCUCUUUCCCUCUUGUUAAAAUUAUAAAUCAACACUGCAGCUAUAGCUUAACCAAUCAAAUUAAUAUGUCUUGUUUAGAGUUUAUGCAGUUAAAAAGCCCUUUGAUUCUUGCGUUAUUGCCUUAUAACAAAUAAUCAUUCUAGUUGUUGUUCAGAUAUUUUUUCUACAACUAUGCGUAGAUAUGUCCCUUCGUGCUUCCAUACAGGGAGCCUCCAGAAAUGACAGAAUAUGGGCUUUUUGUGGCUUCGCUGUUCUUGGUUGUUCAGAAAUGCAUGGCUCAAGUUUGCUCCGACUAGAAGAUGGCACUGGCAAAUGUCGAUGUGGCUAGGUGACAUUGUGUCAACUGAGUUUGAGUCAGCUAGCAUAAACAUUCUGCCCUCAAAUGCAAUUAUCUAGUGACACUUAAUUCCACGUUUUGUACCCUGGUGUGUUUGUCAGAUGUCUUUCUACUUUCAUUGCGUAUGUAAGAUAGUUGUGAGCUUGUAAAACUGAAUGUCAUAUCUGAUGUUUGGAUAGAUGAUUUUGUUGUUCGCCCCCCUCCCUGAAAGUAUAUGGUCUAAUUAAAUUAUCUACAUUUAACAUGAUAAGUUUUGGAAUAACAGUAAUGAAUAGAUGUGAUUAGUACACGUAACACAAUACAUUCUAGAAUAAGAGGUAAGAAUAGAUAACAUGCAUGCUACUUAGACUUCCAUGUGUAUUUUGUUAUUAUGAACCUGAUAUACAUAGUGCUUGUAUCUUGCAUUCUUUGCAUUGAGCAACAUAGGAUUUUAUAUCUUCUCUUGCAAAUUCAGAAUUGCAUCAUCUGUUCAAUAAUACACUUUAAUUUUCUCGAUAGUUAUGGUUAACACUGUGACAUGCAGUCUAAUUUGGAUAGCUAGUUCUUUUUCGUCAAGCUUACACUGUAGGCGCUAUGUUCAGUAGGUGCUAAACCUUCACAUUUAAAGAUUCUGAAUAUAUCUUCAUUUCUGUUCUUUGCUGUUUUACAAUAGAAAUAUUUACCGAUAUGGUAAAUACUUGUUUGUUUGAUUUUCAGAUCUAAUUAACAGCUUCAUGCUUGGCUGCUUGGCAUAUGUACUUCCGGUUAUAUUUUAGCAUGGCUGCAACAAGAACAUCCUCACUGAUUACGUUGACCAAUAAGAACAGGCCUAAAAUAUGUUGCUCUCUGCUAUUCUUCUAAUCCUUAUGUUUCAUAUAUCUGUCCUUGCGUUGAUCAAUCCAUGCGUGCUAAUUAUUGCUAGUUCAAAAUCAUUACCUAGAGAUAUCAUAAAUUAUUCCAAAUAGGCCCUUUGUGGUUUUUUCUUGGGUGUAUGAAUUGAAGCUAAAGAUGAAGUUGCAAUUAAUGGUCCUCCAUCUUGCUGUGAUUUCAACAUUAUCUCUUUUUUAUUUUGAUCCUUUAUUUUUCUGCAGUAAUGGUAGUCAUGGAAUAAGUGGCACUACUAAGUCACAGGAACUUGCUCUGCUUUGCAUUAACUUACAGGAUUCAUUUUUACUGUCUUUGCAUUAAUUUAUGCACAUCCUGAAUGUGUUUGGCUGCUAACUAUCCAUUUAAUUGAUUGGACGAAGAUAGUGGCAGGUGUUGAGCUUGGUUCUUAAUGUUGCGAAGUUAUGCAGAAGCAACCAUCAUAGCCGGUAGCAGUCCCCACGUCUAGAAGGUCACGGGUAUAAUUCUUUUCCAUCCACAAGUUUCAAGAGGUGUGUUUCGUGAGCUAAAAGGAUCUUCUGCUGUGAUCUGUUUCUAACAAAGACCAGAUAUUAUAUUUUGUGCUUUUGUCUAUGAUGCAAUACUAGACCUAUGAACCUACAAAUGUACGCCUAUAUGUGCAUGGGCUUUUUGUUGUUGUGUUGUAAUCUGGGCUUGUGAACCUACAUAUGCUUGUAGACAUGAUGGAUUAUUGAGAUACACAUAUAUGUUAUGUCUAAGUGAUGCAACUUUAAUUA